rnacentral:rRNA from 1 species
AGCCUGACGCAGCGACGCCGCGUGCGGGAUGGGGCCUUCGGGUUGUAACCGCCCCCCGGGGAGCAAGCGAGAGUUGAGUUGUACCCGUUGAAUAAGCACCGGCUAACUAGUGCCAGCGCCGCGGUAACC